rnacentral:ncRNA from 1 species
AAGGGUUCCACGUGAACAGCAGUUGAACAUGGGCCAGUCGGUCCUGAGAGAUGGGCGAGCGCCAUUCCGAAGGUACAGGCGUUGGCCUCCUUGCCCUCAGCUGAUCGGAAGGGAGUCGGGUUCAGAUCCCCGAAUCUGGAGUGGCGGAGAUGGGCGCCGAGGCGUCCAGUGCGGUAGCGCAACCGAUCCUGGAGAAGCCAGCAGGAGCCCUGGGGAGAGUUCUCUUUCCUUUGUGAAGGGCAGGGCGCCCUGGAAUGGGCUCGCCCCGAGAGAGGGGCCCAUGCCUUGGAAAGCGUCGCGGUUCCAGCGGCGUCCGGUGAGCUCUCGCUGGCCCUUGAAAAUCUGGGGGAGAGGGUGUAAAUCUCCCACCGGGCGGUACCCAUAUCCAAACCUGAGGU